CGCAAGGGGUGACUGAGUGGCGAACGGGUGAGUAACACGUGGGUGACCUACCUUCGAGCGGGGGAUAACGUCCCGAAAGGGACGCUAAUACCGCAUAACAUCCUGCCUUUGAACAGGUGGAGAUCAAAGCUGGGGAUCGCAAGACCCGGCACUUGGAGAGGGGCCCGCGUCUGAUUAGCUAGUUGGUGAGGUAACGGCUCACCAAGGCGACGAUCAGUAUCCGGCCUGAAAGGGCGGACGGACCCCCUGGGACUGAGACACGGCCCAGACUCCUACCGGAGGCAGCANUGGGGAAUUGUUCACAAUGGGCGCAAGCCUGAUGACCCAACGCCGCGUGGAGGAUGAAAGUCUUCCGAUCGUAAACUCCUGUUGCUCGGAACGAAAAGCUCCGACCUAGUACGUCGGAGUCUGACGGCACCGGGUGAGGAAGCC
rnacentral:rRNA from 1 species